rnacentral:rRNA from 1 species
AGAGUUUGAUCAUGGCUCAGGAUGAACGCUAGCUACAGGCUUAACGCAUGCAAGUCGAGGGGAAACGACAUCGAAAGCUUGCUUUUGAUGGGCGUCGACCGGCGCACGGGUGAGUAACGCGUAUCCAACCUGCCCAUCACUUGGGGAUAACCUUGCGAAAGUAAGACUAAUACCCAAUGAUAUCUCUAGAAGACAUCUGAAAGAGAUUAAGGAUUUAUCGGUGAUGGAUGGGGAUGCGUCUGAUUAGCUUGUUGGCGGGGUAACGGCCACCAAGGCUACGAUCAGUAGGGGUUCUGAGAGGAAGGUCCCCCANAUUGGAACUGAGACACGGUCCAAACUCCUACGGGAGGCA